rnacentral:rRNA from 1 species
GCGCCAAUGAUACUGCCCUAUUUAAAGGGUGGGAAAGUAGGUCGAUCCCAGAA